rnacentral:tRNA from 1 species
GGAGAAUUGGCAGAGCGGCUGAAUGCGCACCCCUGCUAAGGGUGUAUACCGGGAACGGUAUCGAGGGUUCAAAUCCCUCAUUCUCCGCCA